rnacentral:lncRNA from 1 species
GAGGCCUCGUAAGAGGAGUUGAUUUUGAUAGUUCAUCAAAAUGAAAUCAGUGUUGAAGCAAUGACCCAGUGACCUUGCAAGUGGGGUUUACAGUAGGAAAGAUGUGAACUGAAUUUGCCUCUGCUCUGCUUUUAGAGGCACAAGGGUAUGCUUUCACAUGAGUAGACAUGCUAUCUAUGCCACGCAAGCUAUGUUAGUUUGAAUUGACUCAGACUACAUGAAUCCAAACUAGUGUGCUGCAUUCAACGCCUCUGAGAUUUAUUUGGAGUAAAAGAUCUGCGUCAGUCUAUGCACCAGAGCUCUUUUUCUUUCUCUUCCUUCACUCGUCAUGCACAUUUCAAGCUCUAUGGAAAAAUCUUAUGACAACUGUGAAACUGAACUUACAUUACCUCAACUGACCGGACCCAUUGCAGACUCUGAGAUGGAAUGUAUGCAUCACUCUUUGCCAAUUCAGAGGUUAUUUAAUAUGGACACUUUCAGCUCAGCCAACUACAUCCAGUAUGUCCUGUGGCCAGGAAGAAAAGGAAAUUUCUUAAACUAUAUGAAGAAGUACCAUCUCUAAAGAAGU